rnacentral:lncRNA from 1 species
UUUGUGUUUGAGGUAUUCUGAUUGUUUAGCAUGUCCAUUUUAUUCUUUGGAUUAUUUAUUGUUCAUACUUAUCUUAGCAACUUAUGGACACUUUCAAAAGUGAGUUUUCUGCUGCACAUAUUUUGUAAAUUUUGAAAAAUUUAACUCAACCCCCCCCCCCCCAAAAAAAAAAAAACAAAGGAAUUAUUGAGAAUUAUCCAAGGAAGCAUGAUUUGGUAUAAUAGUGCGUCAAUAUUUGAACAUACAAUUUAACUUAGGUUGCUACAUUAAACUAAUGGCCUAAACUUUAGCCUAUGCACACAGAUAUAUCUACCAAUUUGUAAGGUAGAUAGUAUCACUCUAAUACUUUUUUUUUUUAAAUCUCUAAAUACCUCACAGCCAUCAUAUUGAGAGAAAUGCUGCAGUUUGAGGAAGCAUGGAGCAGGAAGAAUAUUCUUUUUGACAAAAAAAUCUGUAAACAUUAGAUUCCAAUUUUGAUUAUUUUAUGAAUAAUAAUUUUAAGAUUAAAAAUAUUUUACUAUUUAAUUAUUAUAGAUUGGAUUUAUAUUAAAAUUUAUUAUUUUUUUAAGUUCAAGUCUUCCUAGAACUUUAGCAUUAUUUUUUAUAUAUUUAUUUAUUUUAAAUAAAGGAUCCAUGUAUUGCACAUGCCACAUUGUAAUUAGAAUCGGAGAUAUUAGAACUAAGAUUUUUCGCAUGCCUUUCAUAUUGGAUUGGGGAAGCAUAGUAUGGAGAGUAUUAUUUUUUGACAAAAAAUCUAAAAGCCUCGGAUUCUAAUUUUGAUUAUUUUAAUUAAGAUAGUUUUCAGAUUAAGAUAUUUUAUUAUUUAAUCAUUAUAUAUCAUGUUUGUAUUAGAAAUAUCAUAACUAUUUUAUUACAUUUGUCUAUCAAAAAUUUAAGUCCUACAAGAAAACUUCUCUAACUUUUUUUUUGCAUUAUUAAUAUCCAGAGCAACAAAUUUUGUACUAUUUUCUAUAAGAGUUCGAGUCGAGUGAAUUUGAGGAAUUGCUUCCUUCUUCUCUCUUUAUUCGAAUCAUAGAAUAGCAAUACCACUAAAAUUCUCUUACCAAGAAUUCCAUUCAUGGAAUUGUGCCACCCAUUCUCGAGCUCUCAAUCCCACCACCCAAACAGGGGCUAUAGGGGAAGGAACUGAGAAAUUGGAUUUUAUGGGAUGAGAGUGGUUUAGCUCUGUUGCCAAAUGGAAACUGAAUAAUGCUUAGAACCCUCCUACAAUACAUUGCAUACUUUUGAGAUUUAUGCCCAUCUUUUUUAUUGUUUUUUUUUUUUUUUUUGUCUGAAAGCGGAUGUUUCAUAUAGUGCGUAUACGGAUACACCUAAAAAAGUCAAAAUACAACAAUUCGCAGAGUGCUAGUGGCAGCUCUCCCUCCCCUGACCAAAGAUUGUACCCUGAGUGGUGGGCCGCUAUCCAGUCGGCCGCCCCAUUGGCUUUUCUAAAUACAUGCUUGGCCUGAAAGACCCUCCCAUCUGUCAUCAUCAUCCCUAUGUUACGGAUUAAGGGGUGGUCUGUGCCGUCACCCCUCGACCCCCUCUAAAUCCACCCGAUAACCGUAGCCAUCUUUAUGUAUUCAAUGAUGCAUUUGGAAAGCAUUUCAAAUCUCAAAGGCCACCAUGUAUUAAAUUUUCAGCGAGAAGUCUAUCUUUGGAUCGUUAUCAUUAUCAUCACCUUUAAAUAAGCACCCCUAAACUAGUGGAGAUCAUGCUCAAAUAGGCACGGUUUCUCCGAUGGAUUUUGCUGUCAAUAUGCGAGCAUGGCAAUACGGGAGGCCGGCUUAAGUUGGCAUGAUUAGAACUAGAACACAUGAUUUAUCUCAGUAAGCGACUAAUGAGGUUUUUUUGGUUCAAUAAGAGUGACUAAAGCAUGGUUCCGCAAUGACAGAUCAUAGACAUGAUAUGGGUGUUACUAAUCAUGGUUCGGCACAGUUCGAGUACAGCACCAAAAAUUUCUGCUGUGGUUUAUUCCAACUCCAUAGCGACAUGUUUGGCGUUCAGAAACAAUUUGGAUAUUUCAAAUUGAGAACAAAAAUAUAACUUCAUCAAAAGUUUGAAAAACUCAAAUAAUUAUAUAUAUAAAAAAGAAAAUAAUGGACAUUAGAUUUUUAAAAAAUUGGCAUAUUUACUCAUGAAAAUUAGCAUAAAAAUGAAGAAUAAAUCCAUGUCCACCUCAUGAUUGAAUAGAUCUGAACGGAUUUGUUUAUUGAGAAUAUUUCAAAGAAUCAUUUGGAGAAGGAAAAGCUUGAAAAAAGCUGGGUCUUUUCGGCCACUCAAGAGAAUAUUGCUUCUGUUGUCCAUUCCUAUCCUGAGUUACCCAUAAUUCUCAUGUUACUUGCCACAUGGUUGGCUCAGACAAGAUUUCAUCGCCUACAUAAAGAGUUCUUUGAUAUACUUAGGAACAUAUGUUGCCCCAAAUAAGUAAUAGAGAGAGAAAAAGAGAGAAGCUAAGACAAGGGAGAGGCAUCAAAUCAAUAAUGGUCAGACAACCAUCUGCAAGUUCCUUCUGUAAUAUAGUGGAGAGAUCCACAGAGUUGCAAGGAAAAAGGAAGCAUGGAGAUCCCAAAUUUCAAUGUGCAACAGAAAAUAGUCAACAACAAUAUGAAGCCACUGUUUUGUUUGUUUCUUGAAUUUGUUUUAUUUAGUCUUUUAAUACUGCACCCUCACUGUUAUAUAUACAAGUAACAGAAUUAGAACAAACUCCAAUGGAGGAAAAAAAAAGAAAAAAAAGAGAAGAAAAGUAUAUAAUGCACACAGCUCCAUUGAGUUAACAGCUCCCAAGUGCUUCCAAAAUGCUAAAAAAGGAUUGGCAGAGAUCACUGGAGCUGUUAAAAACUGGGAGGAAAAACACUUCUAGUUAAGUACCUUUUCUUGGAUCAUCAACAUAUCCAUCCACAGGUCGUAUGAGUUAUUAUACCGGGUAAUGUUUAUCUAACACCAGUAAAAAAGGACCCAUAUCAUUCACCUUUAUUUUUUUCUGGUUUCACUAAUUUCUUCUCGCAAAGACAACCUUUGGGCUUGCCUGAAGCUGAAGAAGGCAAUCAUGCACUGUGGGCUUGGAGUUGUUCUCAAAAUCAGGCUUAAGUCUCAUCUGCAAUGUAAACAUUUAUUUAUGUUUGAUGAGUUUAACAAAUACAGUACAACUUUGCCAAAGUUGAAUAUGAUAUUGUAAUUCAUUACAAGGUAUGAUUUUAGCCGAUGGAAAGAACUAGUUGAAUGUAAAAAGAAAUUAUUCGUGAAUCACCUCUUGAUCUCAAGUCCCCUUUUUUUACAGCUAAAGGUACUCAGCAACAUGUCAUGCGCUAAUUAACUUAAAGAGGAGUAUUUUCAAUCAGGUAAACAACAAAAGCCAAUUAUGCCUCAUGCUCUUUUAAGCAUCGAUUUCAUGCCACAUGCAUAAAUAAUCAAACAUGUUAUGCAUUUCUACAUAUAAACACACCAAAAUGACGAAAAAACGCUAGUUGCAGCAUGCAAUUAUCAAAAGAAAGAAAAGAAAGAUUACUAACACAUGGUAUAUAUGAAACAUAGUUUGUUUUUGAUUUUGAACUGAUAACAUUACAAAUCUGUACCGAUUUCGGUCACAAUACAUGCAGUGCUUGUUGCUGCAAAAAAAGAAUUAAAAAAUGCAUUGAUGUAUGUAAUCCAUUCUUUGUUAUUAAAAUCUGAGAUGUCCCUCCAAAAAUUAAUCUAAAAUCACAAGCAAAGUUUCAAAUAUCGUGCAAUUUGGUCACGUACUGCUUGCUGGCAGGUACAGAGUGUUAGGUGAGGACCCAAUGACGACUUAGUUUUUCACUCUCGAACUCAAGUCGAAUAAAUCUAGACAUAUGUCGGACGACGGGGUUUGACGAGUUAUCCAUGACCUCCGGUCUGUAGGAAUCCAUGAUAGAAAUACUGUAUCAUACGAUAACUGCACCUACAGGUUCAUCAUUCUACUCUGCUGGGUAGCCACUACAUACUGCUAGGUGUCACUGGUGGAUGGUGAGACUCACAGGGACCAUUCUGAUGGUCGAUGAUCCCUGGUGAAAUCACAAAGGGGAUAAAGAUGAGCUCCUAUUUUGAAUUCACAAAGGGAUAAAGAUGAGCUCCUAAAAUUUAGGAGCUCAUCUCUAUCCCCACACCAUAAAAGAGGGGUUCAAAGGGGCUACGAAUUUUUCAUGGUUUUUCCUUGGGAUUUUUGGCAGCAAGGAACCUCCUUCCAUCCCUCCUUUCAGCCACAAGAAAGCAAGAAAAAAAGGCUUGUGGCGUGGCCCUUCUUCCUUCCAUUCUUUGGUUCCAACGCGAAGGGAAAAAUGAAAGACUGCGGGUUUUACAUUCUUCUUCCUACAUCCCUCCUUCUUCCUCCUCUCAAGGUAAUCAAAAGUUGAUUCAAAGGAGAGGAUAUCAGCCAUCAAAAGCUAUCUCUGCAAGGGAGCUAGCACCCCGGGAAGAUCCAAAAGCUUCAAUUGGUGCUAUACCUCGUGUGGAUACCUGUAGAGGCCGGAUGCGUGUGCGGCUUCCAUCGAACCUUCAACAAAUCCACGUAAAUCAGAUUUGCAGAGACCAUCUACCCGCACAAGAUGAAGAUCUGAUCUUCUUAAUGAUUUUAAAAUGGUUUAUAAGAAUUUAAUCCUAAUCUAUCUACAAACGACGGUUUUAAAAUACGUUCAUGCGAUGAACGGGAUCGCACAUGCCCUUCCGCUGCACAUCUAAAAAUUUUUGAAAUUUUUCUGCGGCAUGCAUCAGAUCCUAACAGUGGUAUCAGAGCCAGGUUAUGUAGAUUAAGAUUGGAAUUAAAUUUUUAAAGGCAUUUUAAAUCUAAAAUUUAAAGAAUUAUGCUUGCUGAAAUUUUCUGCAUACAGAAUUUUCAGCUUGCUGAUUUUUCUGCAUGCUAAUUUUUGAAUGCUUAGAUUAAUGAUUCUAAUGCUUUGGUAAUGUGAUUACAAAUAUUUAGAAUCAUAUCUUGCAUAAUCAGCAAGUCAUAAGAUGAAAUAAUCAGUUAAAUUACAGAUCUGAAAAUAAUAUUUAUGCAUGAGAUGCGUAUGGUGAUGAUCAUGGAUGGACCCUUUUGAAUGUGCUGAAAUAUUCUGCGAUAUUCUGUGAUGCUAUGUGAUGGCAUGUAAUUUUAAUUUUCAGAUGCCUGCGUGCAUCUUAAAUUCAUGUAUUAAAGACCUGCGUGUCUCAUGAAAAAGGGUUGUAAUUUAUUCUUUUAUUUUAUUUAAUUUUUAAAGCAAUCUGGGAUGUAAUCUGUGAUGUGUGUUGCACGUCGAUGGUUGAUCGAUAUGUACAUUAACAAGCUUAACAUGCACGGAUCGAAAUCAAGGGUUGAUUGAAGAUGGAUCAAGGAGUUGAUCACAAUUGGACCUAGGGAUCAAGAUCAAGUCAAAAGUUGAAGAUGAUCAAACCAAUUGACGUGCAUGUGAUUGUAAAAUGACCCCAUCCUGGAUCCAUGAUCAUCACCAUUUAAAUUUAUUUGUUGAUAAAUGCCUGGAUGUUUAAUGCUUAUGUCUAUACGGGUAGAUAUAUAUUUGCAUGAGAUGUGAAUAGUCGAUCGAGAGAGACCUAAAUACAAACCUUCUCAAUCAGUCAAGAGUGAACCAACAUGAGCUAGUCAUAUUAGAUUAAUUGAUCUAAUUGGUGUCUAGGCAGCUUAAAAGGUGGUUACUUAAUUAGGACCUUACUCUUCGAGUAAGGGGAACCUCCCACCUGCUUACCUGGCCAAUUGUUCCAUGCGAAACCAAUCACCGGCUAGUACAACCUCCGAUACCAAUUCGGAGAACCUUAAUUCUUGGAUAUUGCUAAAAGAAUGAUCUAUAUGUGUCCGUUUUUAAAAUUUAAAUAUGUUUUUUUUGAAUCCAUACUAACUAAAUAGUUAAUAGCACCAAGCUCCAUAAAAUAUGCAUAGAAGAGUAUAUUAGAACAAUAGUAAUUAUGCCAUCUUUAAGUGAAGCAUUAAAGUCGAUUUUAGAAGAAUUUGACAAACAUAACACAGAUCACCAACCUCAUAGUUUUGAAGUAAAUAUGCAAGCAAUGCUGAUAUUCCAUGAAUUGCAAACUUUUGUCCAAUGCAUGCUCGUGCACCAGCCCCAAAAGGAAGAAAUGCUGCACUUUUAUUUGGUUCACUUAUAAAUGGGCACUCUUCAUGCUUCUCAUGUUCCUCAAAUGUGCCUGCAAUUUCAUUUUGAGACAGAUAUUGAAAACAUUAACAAAUAAGUAUCUCAAAGAAAUGCUUUAAAGGAAUGAAAAAUGGAAUAAAUUCCAUUUCCUUUGAAGGGAGAUUGAAGUAUUGGGAGCGAACAUGCAUAAAUUAUAAAAUUGAAGGAGCCAAAAUGCAUGAUAAUGGAGGAGUUCUAUUAAACCUUUGUAAAUAAAUCAAAGCUAUAUCAUCUAAUAUUGCUUUGAUAUACCAGGAAUUAGGAAGCAUCUUACUCAGUAAAACUAUCAGAAAUAAAGCACAAUCCUUCAAACUAUUGGUAAAAGAAAUCAACCCCAUUAUGCCCAAAAGUAAUGCUCAAUCCUUAUUUGAUUUAAACAACUAAUACAGGUGACUGGCAUUGGUUGUUCUCGUCAGGUGCAACAAUUAUUGUAGCAUCAGACAAAUUGGCAAUAGCCUUUUUGUUCAUAGAAAUUCUUAAUAAGAUAAUUCUCAAAUGGUGAAAAAUCUCAGAAGACAAUGAUACAAAAAUGCAACCAACUAAAAGCCACAGAAAUAUUAUACUACCAAGAAGAGCAAAAUAUUGAUGUGUAGAAAAAGGAGAGAGAAAUGAACAUAGCUUUUGACACAAGAAUAAGAUCGUCUUAAACAACAAUAAGCAGCCUCCCACAAGAUUUUAGAAUUUUGGUUCAAGUCUUGGUUUUGAUAAGAGGACUAAAGUAUUGGCUGAAACAUGCUUCGACUGGGAUAGAUCUCAAACUGAUCAAAAAAUUCAGUUUCGGCCACCGGUUUCAACAGUUUCAGAUGAAACCAACUGAAGCUGCCGUUCUUUUACCCCAUUUGUUAACAAGUAUAUGUAUUUAUGUUUAAUAUGUGUUCGAUAUUAUUAAAUCACACGUUCAUCUGAGUCUCUAAUGAUCUUAUCUAUAUAACUUUUGUCUAAGUUAUUAUACUGGAAAGUCAAUGUAUUAAAAAGUGGAUAGAAAGCACAUAACAGCCAGGGGGGCUCCUAGCCAAUAGCGAAUAGCAAGUGCUAUGUACCCAAAGCAGGCUGUUGAAGUAUAUAUAUAUUUUCUUACUAAAUAUCAAAGAUAUCAACUCUACAUCAACUUCAUGUAAAAAAUGAAGAAAAUAAAGAAAAAUUUAAAACAACAUCCACGUAUCAUCGUAAUAUCAUAUCAACAUUUAUAAUUUUGUAUAAUGUAAAGGUACACGAUCUAAUGAGCAAUAUCAUCAUCCACCAAACAUAAUUACAUCACUCAAUAAAGAUGUCUACAAUAUGAUAACAUCAACCAUAGAAGAAAGAUGUCCACAAUCAUACAAAUAAUCCACUUCUCCUUAUCCUCUCUCUCUCUCNNNNNNNNNNNNNNNNNNNNCUCUCUCUCUCUCUCUCUCUCUCUCUCUCUCUCUCUCUCUCUCUCUCCCCCCAUGCUCCAAUUGAACAUGGGUAUGAAAUAACUAAACCAGCCCAUGUUUUAAUCAUCCUAUUGGACUAGCUGAUUGUUGGACCGCUUCAAUUGGAAAGUGGUCCAGUCUGCUAUAAAAUAAAUCACCCACUUCAAACACAGCAUCAUGGCUGCUACAGUGGGUUUCCCACUUCAUACUUGUGCCAUAUGGCACCACCAUGAUAUUUAGCAUAGCCUUCUUCGGCUGAAAGCGCUAUAGCCGCUGUAGCAGCCUAUUUUUAAAACAAUGUGGUCAAUCUGCAAACUUGAUAUAUCUUUACUAAUCAGGCAAGAUAGUUCGUCUUCUUAUUUUUCUUACUUAAAUGAGUUUCUUCCUCCUUUGCUAAAUAAAGUGAAAUAUUAAGAUGAAAUAAUGAAAUAAAAUGGGUUUUUUAUUUGGAUUGGUCCUUUUCUUUUCUUUGUCCAAAUGAAAUAGAGUAAAAUAUACUUAAAUGGGUUUCUUCUUGAUUAGAUGAAUUAAUAAAAUGCAACAAUGUUAAAUAUGCUUAGAUGUUUUUUUCCUCUGAUGAUUUAUAAAAAUGAAAUAGAAUGAAAUAUGCUUAGAGGAAAAGUUUAGUUAAAUUUUUAUGGAAAAUUAUAAAAAACAAAGAAAAGUAUAGAGAAAUUAUAAAAAUUAGAGAAUUGUAAGAAGCAGAGUCGCCGAGUUGGGAAACAAGUGUGAGAGAUCAUAUGAGAAACAAAAGUUGGUGAUUGAUAAGAAAUUAUACAAUUGGGAAAAUUGGUGGCAUCUAUAUAUGAUAAUUAAAAUUAUUCACAUAUUUAGCAUAGGAAAUAAAAAAGAUAUCUUACAAAGAUUAAAAAAAAUAAAAUCUCUACUCGUCGCCUAUGUUCUUUAAAAAGAAAAGAAAUAGGUAGCGAAGAUGAAUCUUUUUCUUCUAUUCUAAUGGGGCCUAGCUUCUAACUUUUUUUAGACAUGGGGUCCAUGUUGUGGUUUAAGGUAUAUUAGUAAUCAUUUUGAACUAAAACAAUUUUAGAUUGACAAAAUUUCUAAUUAAAGGACACUUAGAGCAAAAGUCUAUAUGGAAAGAUCACUCAUGCAAAGAAAAUCUAAAUCGAGGUUUUUUUUUAACUUCCUGUAGGUGGUGGGACUGAUGUGGUCGAGGCAUGUGGGGAAAGAGGACAAAGAGAGUGUGUAUUGGUUAUUUUCAGAAUGCAAAUUCAGCAUUUCUCAAAAUGCGCUUUGCACUCAUUUCUCAGGUUUUUUUUUUUUUUUUGUGGUACUAUAUAUUGAACGUGAGUACACCCAGCCAGAUCACUAGAAAGUAACAAAGACAAAGGAGGAGGAGCAUCUGAAUCAGACGUCCAUGGUAAGAAUAUUACAGAAAAAAAAGUCUAAACAUUUAAAGAAUUAAGCUUUGAUACAGUUUAAUUUCAAUCUGAGAUUACCCAAAAUACAUAUUAUAAUCCUAAAUAACUCAUAACACAAUAAAACGAUGUGAAUUAGCUUGUCUUUAUUUUUUCUCAACUUUUCUUGUUUGGAUCUUUUUAAACUUUUUUUACCAUAAGUCUAGAACUCAAGGUAAAAGUAUCAAAAUUGAAAUUACAAUGGUCAAGAAAAAUAGAGUUUUAUAAGAGAUGUGUAGAUCAUAUGUUAAUGAAUUUAGGGCUGAUUGAGUGACUGGCAGGGGUCGGUAGUCGACUUGUAAAAGUAUUUCAGGUUGCCUAUAUGAAUCUAUGCAGAAAUUCAGUGUGUACCACUAGAAAAAAGACAUAUAUGAGACUAAGUGCAAGUCAUCGAUACACAGAAAAGCACAGCAUAUGGAUAAGUUUAAGAAAAUAACAUAGAAACAAAAAUAGUAUGAAGCAAAAUAAAACAGGUAAAAUGAAAGAGGUUGGCGGAAAGAAAAACUAAAGAGACAGAAAGAAAAACUAGGAGGAAGUAAGAGAUGCAAAUCAGACAUCAAAUCCUUGAUGCCUUUCACAAGAACAGAGAGAAAGAAAACAGUUUAUCAUGCUUCUUGGAGUCUAGCAGAGGACCACAUAUGGCCUUCUCAGGUAAAUAAUAUCUAGAUUUUCCAGACCUCUAUAACGCAAAACUCAGUUUCUCACAGAUUCCUCUACAGAAGACACCUAAUCUACACAAAAUUAAAUCCUAAUGACUUCAGAAAUUUUCGAAUGUUAUAUAUAUAUAUAUAAUCUGAAAAUUACAAUAAACCUAAACUGCACCCAAUAGGCUACCAUUAAAUAAUAAGGUACCAUCAGAUGUAUGUACGCAGUAGUGGUGACACUAGCAGCAUCAAAACCCUAUUCUGCUUUCACCUUACUAGAUGAGUGGAAGUCAUGUUCCAAUAGAAUGAUCUUCCAGUCUAACCACUCAAAGUUGCUUACAUAAAGGGUUGGGGACCAAGUCUGUAUUUUAUUUUUGUAAUUAAACUUUUCCAAGCACCAAGAAAGAACACCAACAAGAUAGCCAUCCUUCAUGCUGCCAACCAUGAAAUUCUCUCAUUCACCAUUGACACCAAUGAGGGAUUUCAGCAAUGCAUGCUAUUUAUAUAUGAAAAAUAUUCUCUACAAAGAUAUCUUGCAUUAUCACAGCAUUGGACAUGGUUAAAGAUUUCUCUAAUUCUUUAACACAAGGUGAAUGCUAGGCAAGGGCACUGUAUUAAGUUCCUUCUUUAGUUAAUACAUACAUGGAAACACUCAAUGAAUUUUAACUUGCAAAUCAUAAUCCCUCUUACAUAUAUGAGAGUGAAACAAGGAGUCUAAUAAGUUCCCCUACUAAUCAAAGAUUUAAAUUCUUACGAAGUAAGUUGUAAUUCAUAAAACUUCAAAGAUGAUACUAAAAAUUUCAAGAAAUCAUUAAAUUCAUCUUUUGAUUAAGAAUUGUCAUUUUAAAUUGGAGUUCAGUAUUUUUCAUACUAAAGGCAUCUCCAUUCUGUGCAAUUUUCAAAUAAGUUGAAGGUGCAUUCCUCUAUAUU